GCAUUUCACGUCAGGCAUGUUAGCUGUUACGUUCUUAUGAACCUUCGUUUUGAACGAUGAAGUGAAUGAGCGCGAGACAGCGCAACGGGGUUCCGCGUAAGUAAUAAUCAGAACGUCCCCGCACAGAAGAGACAAUCGAUAGAAGAAUUGUGUCGUCUCUUCAUCCCUGUCUCGGGUUAACCUCCUUGGUCCCCGCACAGGCAAGCCAUCCAAGUCACCAGUUCACCCCGACUGCAUUCCAAGAGGAGAUGCACACACGCCAGCCUCGAAGGCGGCGGCAGAUCGCAUCAUGCGGACGGCUGUCAGAAUAUGCAAGUCGCUCAAUGAGGAGCAUGCCCCUGUCAGUAGUGCUACUGUCUCCAGCACAGGACCUUCAAUGAGACUACCUGACCCAACAAUAGAUUCAGCAGAACCGGAUAUCAUGACUACUGUGACGCAAAGUACUUGUACAGAUGCAGAUGCUGCUGCCAUUCUUCUUUCGCUCUCUGAGGAAUGUACUGGUUCACCCAAAGGGGACCUGUAACGGCAAGGAUCAUCAUCUGUUCCUGAACAUGAUAAUGCAGUAACAGGUGCAGGUCUGCACCGGGAAGACGGAGAGAGAACUGAGCACGACAUUGUUGUGAAUCUCCUCAAAGAAAACACGUUGUUGAAGAAGCGUGUAGCAGAACUGGAGCAGGAAAAUAAAGACCUCAGUUACCGGCAACUCCAUGUGGACACACUUGACGAUCGCAGCUUCGAGUACUACACUGGGCUUGAAGACAGAACACAGUUUGAGAACUCAUUUAAUCAUUUAAAGCCUCAUGCCCGUAACAUUGUGAUUGGUCUUCUGCACGGAAAGGUUUCGAUGAUGAGCGAGCGAGGCCUAAGAAAACAGAGCUGCAUGAGGAACUUUUCAUUGUGCUCGUGCGGCUGAGGCUGGGCAUGCCCAAUCGAGAAAUGUAAUGAAACUUUUGACUGUCGGAGGGACGUCUGAGUGAAAUGUUUACCACGUGGAUAAUUCUGCUGGAUCGGGCACUAAGGGCAGCAACAAUAAUCCCAUCGAGACGUGAGGUUCAACAACACCUGCCUGCUUCGUUUAAGGGCUUUGAAGACACCCGUUUUGUAAUAGACUGCACUGAGGUACGCAUCCAGAGGCCAUCCAGACUCAAUGCGCAACGCUUGACAUUUUCGUCUUACAAGCACUACAAUACCUUCAAAGUGCUUGUCGCUGCCACACCAGAUGGCUACCUCUGUUUUGUGUCAGACUUGUGGGGUGGGCAAGCA